rnacentral:lncRNA from 1 species
AGACAUUUGUGGAAAUUGGAAAACGAUCGAUGAUAGUUUGAAUUGAAGUACAUAACAAAGUAGAAAAAAAAAAUCAGCACAUCUAACAAUUUACGUCAAUUUACACAGCCCGUGGGAGCAUAAAUAAAAAAAAUGCAUACCUUUCUGGCAGUCUUUAGAGAUAAAAUUGGGUGUAAGCUGCCAAAGAAGAAUUGAAGCAAGCCAGCAGAAUAAGCAGACUAUAUGCCAGUGAAUAAUUCUAUUAACAUAUUUGGUCUCAAAAGAACUCCACCGUAACAAAACAUUUUUAGUAUACAAGUAAACAAAUGCAUACAACAAAUAAUAGAGACCGACAUUUUGCCUAAAUUAGAUCGCUGACAAAAAAUAACCUGGAAUUAAGCUAAAAAUUCUUUGAAAAAAUAAAUGACCCCAUCCAAAUUCAGAGAGUGGUGACUGCAGUGGGGUUAAGCAUAAUACUUCAUGCCUGCGACUCAUCAUAGUUUAACUGUCCUGUACAUAUAUUUUAGAAGGUAAUGACAGAUGUUUCCCUUACAUAAUGAAAUACUCCUUGUGGCCUUGUUUAUAAGCAAAAGUCUCCAUAACGUUUUGGCCUCAAAUAUAAGCAAAUGUCAACUAUUAUAUCUACAUUUAAUGGUAAUUUUCCAAAAUUAUCCUUACAUUAAUUACAUAAUGUUAUGAGUAGAUGACUAUCAAUUAAGGGUAGAUUAGUAAACGUGUUUAUUUGUUUUCCAUAAAAUCAAGAAAAUUAAAUGCACUUAACUAUCAUUCUUAUUCUUAAUUUUUAAUAAGUGUGAACCUAUGUUUUGUUGCAAUUAUAAGCAAAAAAAACAUAGUUUCAUACUAAUUAAGAAUGAUAGUUAAGUGCAUUUAAUUUUCUUGAUUUCAUGUAUAAAAAUAAAUACAUUUACUAAUCUAUCCCCUAAUUAAUGGUCAUCUACUCACAACAUUAAGUAAUUAAUGCAAGGAUAAUUUUAGAAAAAUAACAUUAAAUGUAGACAAAAUAGUUGACAUUUGCUUAUAUUUGAGGAGUUGAGAUCACCUCCAUAGUUGAGGCCAAAUUUUUUUAAGGAUUUUUGCUUAUAAAUUAGACCAGAGGUAAGAUUUUUGCUUAAAAGGCAUUAAUUACUUUUCAAACCUUUCAUUUUUUAAUUUAUUUCAAGCAAAGGCUCUUACCCCACUGGCUGUGGAGUCAUUACAACAUUUUAAAUUUACCUUUUCCAUUCCUCCAUCACAGGAUACAGAUAGUAGUUACAAUAAUGGCUACCCAAUCAAAAAUUCCUCACUCAGGAGUUUGGGUAAAUGGAGCAAACCCAAACUUCUGUGGACCUUUUGCAUUAGUAUGCCAACCACAACCUCUAUUGGUAUAUGAUAGCUUCUCCUAAAUUUCUUUAUAAAUCUGCAUUGACUACAUAUUUUCAGCACAUGAAUGCUGUUUAUC